rnacentral:rRNA from 1 species
AGAGUUUGUUUCUGGCUCAGGACGAACGCUGGCGGCGCGCCUAACACAUGCAAGUCGAACGGAGCUGAGAGGAGCUUGCUUUUCUUAGCUUAGUGGCGAACGGGUGAGUAACGCGUGAGUAACCUGCCCUGGAGUGGGGGACAACAGUUGGAAACGACUGCUAAUACCGCAUAAGCCCACGGCCCGGCAUCGGGCUGAGGGAAAAGGAUUUAUUCGCUUCAGGAUGGACUCGCGUCCAAUUAGCUAGUUGGUGAGGUAACGGCCCACCAAGGCGACGAUUGGUAGCCGGACUGAGAGGUUGAACGGCCACAUUGGGACUGAGACACGGCCCAGACUCCUACGGGAGGCGGCAGUGGGGGAUAUUGCACAAUGGGGGAAACCCUGAUGCAGCGACGCCGCGUGGAGGAAGAAGGUUUUCGGAUUGUAAACUCCUGUCGUUAGGGACGAUAAUGACGGUACCUAACAAGAAAGCACCGGCUAACUACGUGCCAGCAGCCGCGGUAAAACGUAGGGUGCAAGCGUUGUCCGGAAUUACUGGGUGUAAAGGGAGCGCAGGCGGACCGGCAAGUUGGAAGUGAAAACUAUGGGCUCAACCCAUAAAUUGCUUUCAAAACUGCUGGCCUUGAGUAGUGCAGAGGUAGGUGGAAUUCCCGGUGUAGCGGUGGAAUGCGUAGAUAUCGGGAGGAACACCAGUGGCGAAGGCGACCUACUGGGCACCAACUGACGCUGAGGCUCGAAAGCAUGGGUAGCAAACAGAAUUAGAUACCCUGGUAGUCCAUGCCGUAAACGAUGAUUACUAGGUGUUGGAGGAUUGACCCCUUCAGUGCCGCAGUUAACACAAUAAGUAAUCCACCUGGGGAGUACGACCGCAAGGUUGAAACUCAAAGGAAUUGACGGGGGCCCGCACAAGCAGUGGAGUAUGUGGUUUAAUUCGAAGCAACGCGAAGAACCUUACCAGGUCUUGACAUCCGAUGCAUAGCGCAGAGAUGCGUGAAGUCCUUCGGGACAUCGAGACAGGUGGUGCAUGGUUGUCGUCAGCUCGUGUCGUGAGAUGUUGGGUUAAGUCCCGCAACGAGCGCAACCCUUAUCCUAAGUAGCCAGCAGUUCGGCUGGGCACUCUUGGGAGACUGCCAGGGAUAACCUGGAGGAAGGUGGGGAUGACGUCAAAUCAUCAUGCCCCUUAUGAUUUGGGCUACACACGUGCUACAAUGGCGUAAACAAAGAGAAGCGAGACCGCGAGGUGGAGCAAAUCUCAAAAAUAACGUCUCAGUUCGGACAGCAGGCUGCAACUCGCCUGCACGAAGCUGGAAUCGCUAGUAAUCGCGAAUCAGAAUGUCGCGGUGA